UACAGAGGUCUCAAGCGUUGUUCGGAUUCAUUGGGCGUAAAGGGUGCGUAGGCGGCGCGGUAAGUCGGGUGUGAAAUCUCGGAGCUUAACUCCGAAACUGCAUUCGAUACUGCCGUGCUUGAGGACUGGAGAGGAGACUGGAAUUUACGGUGUAGCGGUGAAAUGCGUAGAUAUCGUAAGGAAGCCCAGUGGCGAAGGCGGGUCUCUGGACAGUUCCUGACGCUGAGGCACGAAGGUCAGGGGAGCAAACGGG
rnacentral:rRNA from 1 species